rnacentral:rRNA from 1 species
CCCAAGUGCAAGGGGGGGAUGGGGUUUCGAGACCCGAAUCUCUUCAACCUCGCUAUGCUAGGCAAGCAUGGGUGGCGCUUCAUCACCAACCCAAACUCGCUCUGCGCGCGAGUUCUCAAGGGCCGUUAUUUCCCGGAUACCGAUUUCAUGCAUGCACUGGUCCCCAAGUCAGCUUCGGCAACUUGGAAAGCAAUUGUGGCGGGA